CGCAUCUGUGCAUGCAGUAUAUCAAUAAGCGGAGGAAAAGAAACUAACAAGGAUUCCCCUAGUAACGGCGAGUGAAGCGGGAAGAGCUCAAAUUUGAAAUCUUAAAGGGUUUCCCUUUACGAAUUGUAGUUUAAAGAAGUGUUUUCUGUUGAGGAUUUUGGUAAAAGUUCUUUGGAAUAGGACAUCAUAGAGGGUGAGAAUCCCGUAUUUGACCUUUACUUUCAACUUUGUGAUACACUUUCAAAGAGUCGGAUUGUUUGGGAAUGCAGUCCAAAAUGGGUGGUAAAUUUCAUCUAAAGCUAAAUAUUGGCGAGAGACCGAUAGCGAACAAGUACCGUGAGGGAAAGAUGAAAAGAACCUUGAAAAGAGAGUUAAACAGUACGUGAAAUUGUCAAAAGGGAAGCGUUUGACACCAGUGUUGUUUUUCUGAAAAUCAAUUAAAGAACUGUUUAUGCUAAGUUGUUUAGACUUUAUCAGCUAAUCUGUUUAGUUUUGAGCUUUUCUUUAAUGCACUUUUCAGUUAACAAGUCAACAUCAAUUUCUUUUGCUGUAAAAAAGCUUGAGGAAGGGUGGCUUGAGAUUCGUCUUAAGUGUUUAUAGCCUCUUGCCUAUGCAGUCGGAGAGAUUGAGGUCUGCAGCGUAGAUCCUUCGGGGCUAAAUGCAUUUGUGCUAAGUUAUAGCAUUUUAUAGACAACUUGUUGACUAUGAUUUGUCUUGUAGCUUACUCGCUUAUGUUAUUUUACCUACGCUUAGGAUGUUGAAUCUGUGCGAGACUAC
rnacentral:rRNA from 1 species